rnacentral:rRNA from 1 species
GUAGUCAUAUGCUUGUCUCAAAGAUUAAGCCNUGCAUGUCUAAGUAUAAGCAACUAUACGGUGAAACUGCGAAUGGCUCAUUAAAUCAGUUAUCGUUUAUUUGAUAGUACCUUACUACAUGGAUAACCGUGGUAAUUCUAGAGCUAAUACAUGCUAAAAACCUCGACUUCGGAAGGGGUGUAUUUAUUAGAUAAAAAACCAAUGCCCUUCGGGGCUCCUUGGUGAAUCAUAAUAACUUAACGAAUCGCAUGGCCUNGCGCCGGCGAUGGUUCAUUCAAAUUUCUGCCCUAUCAACUUUCGAUGGUAGGAUAGUGGCCUACCAUGGUAUCAACGGGUAACGGGGAAUUAGGGUUCGACUCCGGAGAGGGAGCCUGAGAAACGGCUACCACAUCCAAGGAAGGCAGCAGGCGCGCAAAUUACCCAAUCCCGACACGGGGAGGUAGUGACAAUAAAUACUGAUACAGGGCUCUUUUGGGUCUUGUAAUUGGAAUGAGUACNAUUUAAAUCCCUUAACGAGGAACAAUUGGGGGGCAAGUCUGGUGNCAGCAGCC